rnacentral:rRNA from 1 species
CUUUUAGAGAGUUUGAUCCUGGCUCAGGAUGAACGCUGGCGGCGUGUCUAAGGCAUGCAAGUCGAAUGCGGUAGCAAUACUGCAUGGCAAACGGGAGAGUAACACAUUGGCAAUUUGCCCUCAAGACGAGAAUAACCCUGCGAAAGCGGGAGUAAUACUCGAUAGUAUUAAAGAACAUAAGUUCUUUAAUUAAAGCUCCGGCGCUUGAGGAGAAGCCUAUGGCCCAUCAGCUUGUUGGUGAGGUAACGGCCCACCAAGGCAACGACGGGUAUGGGGUGCGAGAGCAUGACCCCACUCACUGGGACUGAGACACUGCCCAGACUCCUACGGGAGGCUGCAGUCAAGAAUCUUCCUCAAUGGGCGAAAGCCUGAAGNNNNNNNNNNNNNNNNNNNNNNNNNNNNNNNNGUGACGAAACAAUGACGGUAGCAGUUGAAUAAGGGGCUGCUAACCUCGUGCCAGCAGCAGCGGUAAUACGAGGGCCCCAAGCAUUAUCCGGAUUUAUUGGGCGUAAAGCGUCCGUAGGUGGUUUAUCGCAUCUCCUGUUAAAUCUCGAGGCUCAACCUCGAGUCAGCGGGAGAGAUGGACAAACUAGAGACUGGAAGAGGCAAACGGAAUUGCUGGUGUAGGGGUUAAAUCCAUUAAUAUCAGCAAGAACAUCAAAUGCGAAGGCAGUUUGCUAGGACAG